GAAAAGCCUUCAUCGGUCAAGUCCUUCAAUGACUGUGCAGAGCGGAUCCUCCCACCUGCAUUGCUGUGUAGGCAGGACUGAGAUGUGCCCACCGCUGGCCUCCAGGAACGUACGAAAAGUUCAGCAAACCUACUGUUGUUGCCCAGAUGUGUUUCUGAAUUCCGAAACUUUGGAUGUAGCAAAGUAAUAUAGCACGUCUCCAAAUCAAAUAUUUAAAUGAUUCGGCAGCCAAACUCAGCUCCACCUUUGAGCCAGAUGACACCACUAAAACUUCCAAUGAGCCUUGAAGAUUUUUUUCGUAAACGAAGGCAAAUCCGAAGGAAAUGGGAUAUUUUAUUCAGAAGUCACAGGAAAAGGAAUUGUAGAGAAACUGAGUGAUUUGCUCGAAGCCCACACGAGAGAAGCAAGAUUCAAGCUGAUGCUAUCCUGACCACAAAUCUGAUGCACUCCAGUGUCCCGGUGCUUUGAUUCUGCAUGAGAUUGGGUGUCUCCGUAUUCUCUGACUCGA